UACGUAGGUGGCGAGCGUUGUCCGGAAUUACUGGGUGUAAAGCGCGUGUAGGCGGGAGGCCGAGUCUGUGGUGAAAUCGCCUGGCUUAACUGGGCGGGGUCCAUGGAAACUGGUCACCUGGAGGUCGGUAGAGGCAAGUGGAAUUCCCGGUGUAGUGGUGAAAUGCGUAGAUAUCUGGAGGAACACCGGUGGCGAAGGCGGCGUUCUGGACUGCAACUGACACUGAGGAACGAAAGCCAGGGGAGCAAACGGG
rnacentral:rRNA from 1 species